rnacentral:lncRNA from 1 species
UUCAAUCAACUCGUUUAUAAUGGUUAACUAUUUUUAUGUUAAUUUAUUAUUUAUUCAUUUUUUUUUGAAAUGGAAUUUAUUAUUUAUUCAUUGUUAAUUAAUAAUAAUUGUUGACAUUCAAAUGUAGUAUAACAUGAUAAAUCCCUCCAUCAAAUUCUAUUGAGAAACAUACACGUGGCAUCGAUUGAUUGAAUUGAAAAAACAAAUAAUUUCAUCUUCUAAUAAAGAAAAGGAUAUUUCUUUUGUUCCAUCUUAAUUUCCAAGCCAUGAUAUAUACAUGAUCCGAUGGAACCGCACCAUGUCAUGUGCAGUUAUCCGUCGCCGGCUCCAAAGCCCCCAUUAUUAACUAUGUCAAUCAAUCGCAUUGUUAGAGAUUAAUCAAUCUUUUGUCAACAAAAUCAAAGUCAAUGUCCCUUUAUAAUUAUUAUUUUCAAAUAUUUAGAAAAAAAAUUAACAUAUUAUGUUUGUAUUACAAUCAACUUAAA